UUUUUUUUUUUUUUUUUUUAAUCUCUGCCUUACUGAUUUUUCAGCAACUCAUUUCCUACUUAUCUCUAAAGAUCUGGCUUAAGUAUCACCUCCUCAGUGAAGUUUUAUCAAAUUCUGUUAGACAAAGUUAGUCAUUUCUGCACCUGUGUUUUCAUAGUACUUUCCACAUUCCAGAACUUAUAACUAUUUGCUUAUGCAAUUCUCAUCCCUCAAACUAGGAGUGCUUGUGAGUGAAAUUAUAAUAUACUUUUCUUUGAUUCUCUAACAGCUAUCUGUGUCUGACACAUAGUAGGCUCUCAAUCAAUGUUCAUGAAAUGAAUGAAUCAGUGUUGCCAAUUUAGUUGGUGUUAUAUCCUCUGUGAUUUCUUAAAACACCAAGACACUCUUUAAAGUGUUGUGUGCACCCAAUAUUUUGAAGAGAACCUUUUCUUUGUAAGGAACUCUGCCUUCUUGCUCUCUGCCAACACUCAUCUUGAGGCAGGAGCUUUCUAGAAUACUUAUUAUUUUAUAAUUAAGAUAUCUUCAUAAGGAAUGACUCAAUUCCACCUAUAGCUAGGGUCCAUUAGCAAAUAAGGUUUUCACUCCUAAAUCACUCCUAGAAUUAGUUUAUACUUUGAAACAUUAUAUAGGGUAACUGCUUUGAAAUGCUUCAAAAACUAUUAUGAUUUAGAUUAUUAACAAGAAGCCAUCUACUGUAUUGGUCAAGCUAUCAAGAUACAUUAGUUAUACCAUGAAGCUUCAAACUGAUUUGAAGAAAAGUAUAGAUUAAAAUAGAGGUUUUUUUAGAGAUCCAGAUAAGCCUAAAGUGUAUUAUCAGGAUAAUGAAUGGAACACCUCAUAAAUCCUAAAUUUCAUCAAUGCCAUGUCUCUACCACAUUGGAAUUAAGAUUUAUAGGCUCACUACUGUUAAUCCAGGGGGUAGACAUUUAACUACAACCCAGGCAUACCUUGCAGGGCUAUAGGGCUUUUGCUUUCUUCUUGUUACACAGAAGCAUGACCUAUUGGAUCACCAGAUUUUUUAAAUAUGUACAGAGGGAACAGGAAAGGAGCAAAAGCAAAGGGAUUUUAAAAUUUCUGCAUGUAUGUGUCUUUCUGUCUCUCUUUUUUGUGUGUGUGUGUGUGUAUUUUUACAAAAUUAUAUGUAUAAUACACACAUAUACAUAAUCAAGUAUAUAUGUGUGUGUGUGUAUAUAUAUAUAAAUAUGAAAGAGCUCUUCUGAUUUAUUUUCUUCAACCUUUCAUAAGGUGAAGUUUCAUCAAACCACAUCAUGUGACUCUCCAGGAACCUCACUGAACAGGUCUGACUGACUCAUCGUCUGGGAAUUUUAAAUAGGCAUGUGCUUCCAUGAGAGUUAAUACUUAAAAACACACAUACAAACUGGCAGUGAAAGAGAGAAAGAAAGAACGAAGAAAAAAAAAAAAAGCUCAAGUGAAACUUUUGCUUGGCACAAACACUCAGGUCAGACACUGGCCACUCAAUAUUUCACAGUUAAUUACCACGUGGAAUUACCUUUAGAGGGAACGUGGUGGCUGAGUGCUCAGGGGACAGAGGCAGUAAAUCUACAGUUUAUAUUGUUAAGUCGGCCGGGUUGGAUUAAGCAGUGAAAGAACUGCCCCUGAAAUGGUUGACCCUGAUUCCCCUCUGAGAUAGGAAGUUUUCCUCAGAUCCAAGGGCUGUGCCUGCCCACUAGUGGUCAGAUGGCAGAGCAGGUACCUGGACAUUCCUUAGAGGGGUUUAUGCCCUUAAGUUCUGUCUGGAUAAAUGUGGGAAUGGCAGUGCCACUUAGUCUAAUUUUUAAGCAAGGAUUUGGGGAUCUGUCAACUCAGUUCUGUCAGAGAAGUUAGAAUAACAAAGGCCAAGUCAAUGACAAGCAAACAAAAGUUUCCAUUUGCAAAAUGUACUUACAACUCUUAUUUGAUGAGGUGUAAGCUUUGUGAUAGGAACUGAGACUUCAGCUCUAUUACCAAAGGAUUGAUUGGAUCAGUGACACCUGGUACAGAAUAACAACUUUCUUCUCUUUCUUCCCAGAUCUUCAUAGAAUACCACACUGGGAUAUUUUCCAGUUUAAACAUCAUAGAAUAUUCUUCCACUGCCAAUGGGAUUAUCUGGAAAAAAUUUAGAGAAGAAUUAAAACUCCUCCACCAGUUUGACCCAACCUGUAUUUUCAUCAUUAUCUCCAUUAAGUCCCUAAACAAAACAAAAUCUAUAGUCUAGCUAAGCUCAAUUAAACAUUCUUCUCAUCAGAAUUUUCCCAGUUUGUUCUGCUCCUUAACUACCCACUUGAACUAUCAACCAUAUUCUGUCUACCUAUACAAAGUCAAAUCCAACAUCAUCAUUAAACUCUAAAAUUCUUACCGCAACAUGUACUAAUUGUGUGAAAGUUGUUGUCAUAUACUUCCGUUGUCAUAUUUGUAUCUUGAACUGUCACUACAUUUAUGACUUCUUUUAGAAAUCAUGUCAUAUUCUCUUUUUUAUCCUUCUUAAUGUUUAGCAAAGGCAUUUUCCUUUUAAUAGCAUAUUCUCAAAUAUUUAUUGAAGGUAAAACACAAAUAAAUUAGUGGUUUAAUUUUUCAAGUCAGGACUCAAAACAAGGCAAUGUGACGAAGUCACCCCUCUGCAGGUUUAGUUUUCUUUAUCACCUCUAAGAACUUCAGUCUUACGCUAUGGGUAAGAGGCCACCGGAUGGCUUACUGACACCCUGGUAAUCUAUAAAAUUCCUUUGACCUUCACAGGAGUAUUAGAGUUUAUGAUAUGCAAACUGUCUCAAUUUUUAAACAUUUUUUAAAAUAAAAAUUUGGUCCUCUGAAUACCGUUGGAAAAAUUAAAUGUGUUUUAAAACUAGCAUGAUAUAUGUUAUAAAUGUUAAAAAUUUGAUAUUUUUCCAUCUAAUUGGUGACUCUUAGUUACUCUAAUUUACACCUCAAAUACUAAUUCAAAGAGUGCCUUGAUUUACUCACACUCAUUAAACAUUUUAUUUGUUUUUAAACUUAGAGUUUACCAGAAUUCCCGUCGUGGCUCAGUGGCUAACGAAUCCGACUAGGAACCAUGACAUUGCAGAUCCAAUCCCUGGCCUUGCUCAGUGGGUUAAGGAUCCAGCAUUGCCAUGAGCUGUGAUGUAGGUCACAGAUGCAGCUCAGAUGUGGCGUUGCUGUGGCUGUGGCUAGGCUGGCAGCUACAGCUCUGAUUAGACCCCUGGCCUGGGAACCUCCAUAUGCUGUAGGUCUAGAAAAGACAAAAAAUAAAAAAUAAACUUAGAGUUUACUUUUAAUCCUAUUUUCAUAAUUGUUCAAGAUGACCUGUCAGCUUUUCUUCGUUCUAAUCCUUCUCUUUCCUAGUUUAAAGAAAAGUUUAAGUCAUUAACUAACAAAGAAACAUCUCAAACCAAUUUACCAUUUUGUUUAAAUGUUCACCUUAAAAUGAGUUUGCCUCUCUCAUCACGAUGUAACACAACAAAAGAGUUAUGCUCAGAAAAUUCCUAUAACCUGGUUCUUUCCAAAUGUAAGAUGGAGUACUUCUAGUCAUUUUCUUGUUUCCUUUUCUUUAUUUCUUUUAUAAAUUCUCCCUUUUUAACUAUAUAUAAAACUAGUCCUUUCUCUUAAAAUCAAUUUGCUCUAGGUACAACCAUUGUAAUUGGCCUAAAAUUGAAGUUGCCCCCAAAUAAUUCCACAAGAGCCCAGCUAUCUUGCCAAUUUCUUUAGGAACUAUAAAUUAAUGUAAAGUUUCAAAAUUCAAAUUAGAAAGAAGAAUAAAACAAUCCCCUACAUUUGAUUUACUGCCUCCAAAUAAAUUCACUAGAAAACACAUCAGAAGGGGACAAUUCAUUAAACAUUCCAUCUAGGAACUACCAAGAAUUGAACCAUUGUACCUUUUAAUCUUUUUUCUCUAAAAUAUCAUCAGAAAUCAUACUUCUUUAGACAUGGGAGAAGAAAGGCAUUGGUGUGCAAGGAAUAGCUGAUAAUAUAUUAUGAAGGUGAAAAUUUUUUGCCAUUUAACUCUUCGAAGAAUUUAUCAUUUUGUUAUUAUAAAGAUCUUUUCAAAACAUCACAAGUUCUUCUUUAACUCAAAAACCAUUUAUUGAGCAUCUUCUAUGUUUCAGGCCACAUGGUAGAAACAUGUGGGAAUAUUUGGAAUAUGUGUCAUCAGUAACAGCUGCGGUUCUUUGCAGACUGGGGGGAUGUUUGGUGUAGAUCUUUCUCAUAAUGUCAAUUGAGACUGUGCAGAUAACCAACUACUACAUAUUAUUUUCUAACUCAUUACUUUUUUGUCUGUAUACUUACUGGUCAGAUACAUUGUUCAUGGAAAAGUAUAUAUCACUAAGGAAACCAAAAACACUUGAAUAUCUGAUAUGUAUAUUGACAUUAUCUUUGGUUUGUGUGUUAUCAGUUAUGCCCCCCAAAAAUUCAGCCUGUCUGCUGGUGCCAAAAUGAAACACAGAAACAGAGUGUGGGGUAGAGGAGGAAAAAAAAUAGCUUUAUUGCUUUGCCAGGCAAAGGUGGGGGGGCGGUGUCACAGCAGGCUAAUGCCUUAGGGACUGUGCCCCCAACUGGAAAGAACUGCAGGGAGUGUUAUAGUAAAAAAGAGAAAAACAGGUUUUUUGGAAAGGAAUAAGGAUUGGGACAAACAUGCAUUCUUCUUUUUUGGGGGGAAUCUUAGUCAUCAAGGCUGGAGUCAGGAGAUCCAGGUGUGAUCAUGAUGGUGGCCAUCUGGGUUAUUGCCUAGAAUCACAGUACUUGUGAAAAGGGCGGUGUAUUGAUCAGAGAUUAGAACAAACCAGGAAAGUUCCUGAAAAACAACAUGUGCUGAUAAUCUUUAACCCAGAGGCAAUUGUGUUCAGGGUGGCUAAUCUUUAGCUGAUUGUGUUUAGGGUCCAAUUAAGCCAGGGAGAAGGACAAGGAAGGGCUCUAAACUGUCCUUGACUGUUCCUCCUUUGUCUCUGCAUCCCCUCCCUUCCCUGAUCAGCAACUGUCUGAACCUGUCCCUAGGAAUUCAGGGAAGGUCAUGGUGGCUGAAUAUGGCCCAUUACCUAAGAACAAGAAAUGAGGGACACAGAAAGGCUUUCAUGCUCAGGAGCCCCACAGGGCCACACUCAGUUUCAAAGGCAAGGUUAGGAAAACAAACAAAGGAAUAAAAAACAAAUGAUAUAAGAAAAAAAGAUCAUGAUGACACUCCAUGAUAAAUGCAUGGCAAAAUCUAAUCUUUCUAGCACAGUGGUGGCUCAGGAGCCAUUUGAAGGCUACUAUCUUUCAGAAGGAUUUUAUGACGUUAUCUCCCUUAACAUGUUGGAAUCAAAAGGAAUAAAGUACCUGUGCAAAGAUUUUCCUUCAGGCACUUCUCUCUCUAGUCCACAAUUAAAUAAUAAUGUGACACAAAAGAAAAUAGUGAUGACAGAUAAGGGCUGUCACAAAUGAGUGUAAUAUCCCAAAGCAAGACAUUAAGAUUAAAAACAAACAAACAAAAAAACCUUAGCCUUAUUUAUAUAUAUACACUAGAGCAAUAGGGUUCCAUUAUCACCCGGGCUGUAUAGUUUCCCUUUUAAACAAAUUAUUAUAUAAGAUUUUGUUUUGCACAUGUAGACACCACUGCAUGCUAUGACAUUUGUAGGAUGGAAUGCCUUUCAGUUUUUCACGAUAUUUAUUUUGUUUUGGUCACAUAAAAAAGACUUUAAGGAAAGUGCUAGAGGAUAGGUUUGAAUUCAUUCUCCUGUUGAUUUUGUUGACAGUGAUAAUUUCUCAACUACAUGGUUAUAACCAUGGGAUUAUAAAACUGAAAGAUAUUCCACUUAUCAUCUAAUACAAUCCUCUAUUUUACAAAUGCAGAAAUUGGGCAAGUUUCAGUGACUUUCUCAGGGUCACAUAACUAGCUAUAAAAAUAUCACAGGUGGGAGUUCCCAUCAUGGCUCAGCGGUCACAAAUCCAACUAGUAUCCAUGAGGAAGCAGAUUUGAUCCCUGGCCCUGCUCAGUGGGAUAAGGAUCCAGCAUUGCUAUAAGCUGUGGUGUAGGUUGCAGAUGUGGCUCGGAUCUGACAUGCUGUAGCUGUGGCAUAGGCUGGCAGCUACAGCUCAGAUUUGGGCCCUAGCCUGGGAAUUUCCACGUGCCAGG
rnacentral:lncRNA from 1 species